CCGGCGGUCUGCAGCAGCCCCUGCGGGACGGGACGGGACGGGACCCCGAGCCCAGCCCCGGCCCCGGCAGCACCGCCCCUGGUUUUGCAGGCCUGGGUAAACGUGACUCGAGAAGCAGCGGAAGACGAGACAUCACCGUUUAUUUUGUCGCUGUUAGCACGCGCGCGGGCCGGACUCGGGGCCUGGUUUGUAAGGAAGGCUGAAGCGGCUCCUCGGACCCCGCAGACGCUCCCCGAGCGCGCCUUGGCUAGGGCAGGCCCGGCUGCUUGAUUAUUAUUUUUUUUUUAAAGGUGACUCGCAUUCAGCUUUGACAACACCUCCUUAUAGCUGCAAGUUUGAUCUUUGAAAUCUGUUGGUACACUGGAGUGGCAUCUACAGCAGCAGAAAUUAUGUUUUUAAAUCUUCAUCUGAUACAGUGACUUCAUCCAGCGUCUGCUGUGGGUUUGCAGCGAAGGUCUUCCGUUUCAGGACACUAGGAGGUACUUGAGGUAAAACUUCCUAGAAAGACAACCCACAUCUUCUUUAUUUUGCUUUGAUGAUGGCAAAUGAUAUAUUAAAUAACAAAUAAUUCAAAGACUUUGUUGGGGUUUGUUUUUUGAAGUCUGUUAUAUUAACCAAGGAAAAGCCUCUUUCUCUUGCAGUUGUAUAACACAAGAAAUGCAAAGAAAGGGUCAAGUCCCGGGCAGGUUGCACGCGACAGCGUGGGCCUACCUGUACUCACAUAUGCCACACCACCAAAGAGAAGAUUUCCACAACUCGCCCUGUGAGAGACUGUUUUCACUUGGGCAAAAAGGUUUUCCUUUGAGACUAACAAAUUUCAGGAAGUAUGUAUACAGAUUUUAGAAUCGAAAAAUGGUUUCUAAAUUUUGGGUUAAGUGUCACCACACUAGAAGCCUUAACGUUGUAAUUUAUUCUGACCAGGCACACAAUGUGGGUAUAUUUGCCUGGAGUUUUGCUGAGGGAAACAAUGCAACUUUAUGUAACUAAAUGUGUGAAAAUAAGUAGAAAAUCCACAAGCAAAAGGGAGUCAACUAUUUUCUGUAUUAGCUGAUGGAAAAGUAAAGGAAAAAUCAACUGUGAAAAUUAAAGUCAACCUUUUAGCUGUAAAUGCUGGCUAGUGUAG